UUAGUGGAUUGUGACAAAGCUUUCGAUGUGUUCAUCCAGGACGGUGUUUGUCCUGGAUGUGUCCGUUUUAAAACAAUUCAAGUACAUGACUACCUUCGAGCGGGCACAUGAUGAAGUUCGUUUUUGCAAGAAAACGCUGCUUAUAGAUUCGUCCUUGGGAUCAAACCAAACCUCUUAAGAACUUAGAGACCCAUGACGACCCACGUUGACUUUGCACGAUCAGAGGUCAAUCCGGCCACAUCUUGCAAGUACUGUCGUCUCUUCCGCACUAAUCCAAUCCACAGGAACGUCUCAUCAUCGUUGGUAAGCAGGGCACGUUUGAAACCCGCUUCUGUUCAGUGAGCAGGGCCGCAUGUUCGUGGCAAGACUGAAGAAACCUUACCUUGGCAGAGCAAGCACUUAUAAUAUUCCUCCAUUCGUGUCAAGGAGACAGUAAAAAAGGAAAGCAGCGACCCACAAUAAGCAAAGGCAAUGGAACGAUAACAAACCGUGCUGCCUUCCAUUAAGGGUGCCCAAAAUCUACUCUUCUCGUAGUCGUUGAGAUUGCCGUCGAGAGUUACGACGAGCAGAUGUUGUUCUAUUUGAGGCCUGUGCGGCUAACUCGCACUAUGGCUUUGGAUUGCUAAUAACCCAAGUGGUAUAUGGCGAGUGUACCAAAAAACGGGUAAGGCCAAGCCAUCCCGAAAAGCUGUAAGGCCUUAGAAUCGAUCAAGUAGGCCAUGGUCUGCCCAACUGCCAAUGCCAUUUCCGUUAUCUUGGCGAUCUACACCGAAGAAAAAAGGUGAAUGAAGUAAACGUCAACGAUGGCUUUAUCUUUGCGACGCUAAUUAGACAAGUCGUGGCUUUAAGAAAAAAGUAUCGCUUGCUCCCGAAUUGAUCUGCCCCCCCCCGCUCUGCAGUUAAUCUACGUAUUCUGAUGCAUUUGAACUAGCUUUUCCUAUAAUUAGUCGCAGUAAAAUAGGCAUUCAAGUAAAGGUUUAGCGAUAAUGAUGUUUCGGAAGUACAAAACUUCAGGCACUAUUGGACCGAAGUAAACGGGAAUUUAUCGACUAGAGACUAUGCACAUAACUUCAACUCGCCUGCGCAUCACGGAAAGGAUCGAGAACAUAGAAUUGUUAUUGGGUAUAAAUCUAAACACUGAUAUGAUACUAUA
rnacentral:lncRNA from 1 species